AUCUAUGGCCAUAGCACCAUGAAUUCACCAAUCUCAUCUGAUCAUAGAACCUAAGGAGGGUCAAGCCUGGUUAGUACUUGGAAGAAAGAAAGUGGUUACCUGAUUCCCCAGUACUGAGAUU
rnacentral:rRNA from 1 species